AUUGAACGCUGGCGGAAUGCUUUACACAUGCAAGUCGAACGGCAGCACGGACUUCGGUCUGGUGGCGAGUGGCGAACGGGUGAGUAAUGUAUCGGAACGUGCCCAGUCGUGGGGGAUAACGUAGUGAAAAUUACGCUAAUACCGCAUACGAUCUAUGGAUGAAAGCGGGGGAUCGCAAGACCUCGCGCGAUUUGAGCGGCCGAUAUCAGAUGAGGUAGUUGGUGGGGUAAAGGCCCACCAAGCCAACGAUCUUUAGCUGGUCUGAGAGGACGAAGAGCCAAACUGGACCUGAGACACGGUCCAGACUCCUACGGGAGGCAGCAGUGGGGAAUUUUGGACAAUGGGCGAAAGCCUGAUCCAGCCAUUCCGCGUGCAUGAUGAAGGCCCUCGGGUUGUAAACUGCUUUUGUACAGAACGAAAAGGUUUCUACUAAUACUAGGAGCUCAUGACGGUACUGUAGGAAUAAGCACCGGCUAACUACGUGCCAGCCGCCGCCGUAA
rnacentral:rRNA from 1 species